rnacentral:sRNA from 1 species
GUGGUGUGACGUCUAUGCCGUCUUUCCUCAAGCGAUUCUUCCCGUCGGUGUAUCGGAAACAACAAGAGGACGCGUCAACGAACCAGUACUGUCAGUACGAUAGCCC